ACGCUGGCGGCAGGCUUAACACAUGCAAGUCGAACGGUAACAGGGAUUAGCUUGCUAAUCUGCUGACGAGUGGCGGACGGGUGAGUAAUGCUUGGGAAUCUGGCUUAUGGAGGGGGAUAACUACGGGAAACUGUAGCUAAUACCGCGUAAAAUCUUCGGAUUAAAGGGUGGGACUUUCGAGCCACCUGCCAUAAGAUGAGCCCAAGUGGGAUUAGGUAGUUGGUUAGGUAAAGGCUGACCAAGCCGACGAUCUCUAGCUGGUCUGAGAGGAUGACCAGCCACACUGGAACUGAGACACGGUCCAGACUCCUACGGGAGGCAGCAGUGGGGAAUAUUGCACAAUGGGGGGAACCCUGAUGCAGCCAUGCCGCGUGAAUGAAGAAGGCCUUCGGGUUGUAAAGUUCUUUCGGUGACGAGGAAGGUUGGUAGGUUAAUAGCCUAUCAAAUUGACGUUAAUCACAGAAGAAGCACCGGCUAACUCCGUGCCAGCAGCCGCGGUAAUACGGGGGGUGCGAGCGUUAAUCGGAAUAACUGGGCGUAAAGGGCACGCAGGCGGUGACUUAAGUGAGAUGUGAAAGCCCCGAGCUUAACUUGGGAAUUGCAUUUCAUACUGGGUCGCUAGAGUACUUUAGGGAGGGGUAGAACUCCACGUGUAGCGGUGAAAUGCGUAGAGAUGUGGAGGAAUACCGAAGGCGAAGGCAGCACCUUGGGAAUGUACUGACGCUCAUGUGCGAAAGCGUGGGGAGCAAACAGGAUUAGAUACCCUGGUAGUCCACGCUGUAAACGAUGUCGAUUUGGGGAUUGGGCUUUGAGCUUGGUGCCCGUAGCUAACGUGAUAAAUCGACCGCCUGGGGAGUACGGCCGCAAGGUUAAAACUCAAAUGAAUUGACGGGGGCCCGCACAAGCGG
rnacentral:rRNA from 1 species